rnacentral:tRNA from 1 species
GCCCAGAUAGCUUAGCAGGGAGAGCGCUGGACUGAAGAUCCAGUUGUCGCGAGUUCAAGUCUCGCUCUGGGCUCCA